rnacentral:lncRNA from 1 species
GAAAAACAUCUGUCAUGGCUUAUCUAUCAGGCAAUGAAUGUGUUUAGGGUGGAAAGUUGAGGUCUGUUGCUUGUACUGAUGGCACAGUUACAGCCUGGAAUGUGCAAGAGUUGACUGGAAAACUGCAUUGACCUGACCUGAAGUACAACAAUCUGCAGUCCCUGAAUGAGAUCUGAAGUGCAAGCAAUACAACGGAUAUUUUUACUUUAACAAGGUAAUCUUUGGAAGGAACUACUUGGCUGUGUUUCAGAAAUGCAGAAACACAAUGGAGCGCGCUGAGUCACGGUAAUCCAGGGGGGAUGUAGGUCCAACCAGAGAAAAUGCAAAUUAGAAAACAAGUAGUGUUUGUUUGUUUUGAGUAAAAUCUUCAUUGCACACCUGAGGAGUAAUUUUUGAAGUGUUUCUGAGAAUUUCACAUAGCCUAAUUCACUUUGAUGUGAACAAACAAUACUGUAAUAAUUAACUAACAGGCACCUUACUGUUCGUGACCAGGCGGUCACCAGGCGGUCACCAGGCGGUGACCAGGCAAAGGCGGUCAGGCUCCUCGCAGGCAGUACCACAUCCGAAAGCCAUUGCAGCCCCAGCACAGGCUCACGACGGCUGCCUGCGGAGCACGCAGAGCCUGGCAGGGGCAAUCUGGGCAACAGCUUGCUUCUUUUCCACAUCACCAUUUUCACGCUGCUCUGCUACUCACUCAGUAAACAAAGAGCCUUUCCUAUCUCACGCCCCCACCCACCUCACUUUAGGCAGCUUCUGCAGGAGGAACCAAACCACUUAUGCACUGAAGAUUCCAGAUGUGAAUCAGGCUUCGUGUGUGACAGCAUUUCAGGAUGCCAGGAUCGAUUUACCACUGUUUCACCUAGCAGUUUGUGCUAGUUUGUAGCUGUUGGGACUACUGCGAUGACAGAUACCUCUCCAAGGACACCUUAUUGAAGGGAGCAGGACGUAUAAGGCAAUGUAUGAAGCAGGUCUCAGGUUUCAUACUAUCAGGAAGAUUUGAAAGCACACCUUCCUGCAUGGAAGGGCACAGAACAGAAAUAAUUCUCCUGGGAUGUGGAUCAGCACUGAAGCAGUAUUCUAUUUUCAGAGCUCUACUGGAAUGUUUCCAAGACCACCAUGACACAACUACUUCAGUAUGGGUGGUAAACAUGUCUCUACUGCAAACUUUUCUGCACUGUUUGCUGUGCAUUCUUUAA